GAUGAACGCUAGCGGCAGGCCUAACACAUGCAAGUCGAGGGGUAGAAGUUGCUUGCAACUUUGAGACCGGCGCACGGGUGCGUAACGUGUAUGCAAUCUGCCUUGUACUGAGGGAUAGCCUAGAGAAAUUUGGAUUAAUACCUCAUAGUAUUAUGGUGUGGCAUCACAUUAUAAUUAAAGUUCCAACGGUACAAGAUGAGCAUGCGUCCCAUUAGUUAGUUGGUAAGGUAACGGCAUACCAAGACGAUGACGGGUAGGGGUCCUGAGAGGGAGAGCCCCCAGACUGGUACUGGGACACGGACCAGACUCCGACGGAGGGCGGCAGUGAGGAAGAUUGUUCAAUGGGCGAAAGCCUGAACCAGCCAUGCCGCGUGAAUGAUGACGGUCCUAUGGAUUGUAAACUGCUUUUAUACGGGAAGAAACACUCCUACGUGUAGGAACUUGACGGUACCGUAAGAAUAAGGAUCGGCUAACUCCGUGCCAGCCGCCGCCGUAAAAC
rnacentral:rRNA from 1 species